rnacentral:rRNA from 1 species
AGUGAACGCUGGCGGUAGGCCUAACACAUGCAAGUCGAACGGCAGCACAGUAAGAGCCUGCUCUUACGGGUGGCGAGUGGCGGACGGGUGAGGAAUACAUCGGAAUCUACUUUUUCGUGGGGGAUAACGUAGGGAAACUUACGCUAAUACCGCAUACGACCUACGGGUGAAAGCAGGGGAUCUUCGGACCUUGCGCGAUUGAAUGAGCCGAUGUCGGAUUAGCUAGUUGGCGGGGUAAAGGCCCACCAAGGCGACGAUCCGUAGCUGGUCUGAGAGGAUGAUCAGCCACACUGGAACUGAGACACGGUCCAGACUCCUACGGGAGGCAGCAGUGGGGAAUAUUGGACAAUGGGCGCAAGCCUGAUCCAGCCAUACCGCGUGGGUGAAGAAGGCCUUCGGGUUGUAAAGCCCUUUUGUUGGGAAAGAAAAGCAGCAGGUUAAUACCCCGCUGUUCUGACGGUACCCAAAGAAUAAGCACCGGCUAACCUCGUG